UGCAUCUGCAGCCCAUGAGGAUGAGAACCUCCGGGGGCAGGGAGGUUCGACUCGAGCGAAGCGAGAGAACGUUGCGCCAGCAACGGC
rnacentral:sRNA from 1 species